UACGUAGGGUGCAAGCGUUAAUCGGAAUUGCUGGGCGUAAAGCGUGCGCAGGCGGUGAUGUAAGACAGAUGUGAAAUCCCCGGGCUCAACCUGGGAACUGCAUUUGUGACUGCAUCGCUGGAGUGCGGCAGAGGGGGAUGGAAUUCCGCGUGUAGCAGUGAAAUGCGUAGAUAUGCGGAGGAACACCGAUGGCGAAGGCAAUCCCCUGGGCCCGCACUGACGCUCAUGCACGAAAGCGUGGGGAGCAAACAGG
rnacentral:rRNA from 1 species